AUGAGAGCCCUUUCAGGAGGGCAGUUCUGCCUCGGGGAGAGGUCAGGGAGGAACCUGUGGGCUGCAGGUGGUGUCUGGGGGGACAGGAAGGAGAGGGCCCGGGGAGGGGGAAAAUGCAGCAGGAAACCAGGGAGACAUAAAGGAGAAGCUGUCUGGAGCCAAGGGGCACAGGAGGGUGGCAGAGGGGGUUCCGGUGCCAGCAGAGCCUUGGUGCCAGCGGGUCCGGCAGCUCUGCCCCAGCCGGGAUCCCCUGAGCAGCUCUGGCUCCUCUCCUGCUGCAGCUCCUUGGGACAUCCCCGUGUCCAUCCCUGUGUCCAUCCCUGUGUCCAUCCCCGCGUCCAUCCCCGUGUCCAUCCCUGUGUCCAUCCCCGUGUCCAUCCCCGUGUCCAUCCCCGUGUCCGUCUGUCCAUCCCCGUGUCCAUCCCUGUGUCCAUCCCCGUGUCCAUCUGUCCAUCCCCGUGUCCAUCCCUGUGUCCAUCCCCGUGUCCAUCCCCGUGUCUUUCUGNCCAUCCCCGCGUCCAUCCCCGUGUCCAUCCCUGUGUCCAUCCCCGUGUCCAUCCCCGUGUCCAGCCGGGCCGGGAGCUCAGCCCUGCUCGCCCGGCAGAGCCUGGCGGCUGCGGUGGCUCACAGGAACCCCUGAACACCCCGGGCGGUGCCCCCGAGCGACCCCGACCCCAAAUAAACCCAUCUGUCGGCUCCUGUGCAGCGUGUCCGUCUGUCAGUGGGUCUGUCUGUCAGCAUGUCCGUCUGUCAGCGUGUCAGUGUGUGUGUCAGUGUGUCGGUGUGUCAAUGUGUGUCAGUGUGUGUGUCCGUGUGUCGGUGUGUCCGUGUGUGUCCGUCUGUCCCCGUGUGUGUGUCCGUGUUGGGCACCGCGGGGCUGGGGCUGCCCUGGGAGCGCGGUGCCAUCCGCUGGGACAGCCUGGGAUCCCCGAGCUCUCCGGUACAGGAUUCCCGAGCUCUCUGAGCUCUCUGGUACAGGAUUCCCCAGCUCUCCGGUACAGGAUCCCCGAGCUCUCUGAGCUCUCUGGUACAGGAUUCCCGAGCUCUCCGGUACAGGAUCCCCGAGCUCUCCGGUACAGGAUUCCCCAGCUCUCCGGUACAGGAUUCCCCAGCUCUCCCAGCUCUCUGGUACAGGAUUCCCGAGCUCUCUGGUACAGGAUUCCCCAGCUCUCCGGUACAGGAUCCCCAAGCUCUCCCAGCUCUCUGGUACAGGAUUCCCCAGCUCUCCCAGCUCUCUGGUACAGGAUCCCCAAGCUCUCCCAGCUCUCUGGUACAGGAUUCCCCAGCUCUCCCAGCUCUCUGGUACAGGAUCCCCGAGCUCUCCCAGCUCUCCGGUACAGGAUUCCCGAGCUCUCUGAGCUCUCCGGUACAGGAUUCCCAAGCUCUCUGGUACAGGAUUCCCAAGCUCUCUGGUACAGGAUUCCCCAGCUCUCUGGUACAGGAUUCCUGAGCUCUCUGAGCUCUCCGGUACAGGAUUCCCAAGCUCUCCGGUACAGGAUUCCCCAGCUCUCCCAGCUCUCUGGUACAGGAUUCCCGAGCUCUCCGGUACAGGAUCCCCGAGCUCUCCGGUACAGGAUUCCCAAGCUCUCCGGUACAGGAUCCCCAAGCUCUCCCAGCUCUCCGGUACAGGAUCCCCGAGCUCUCUGGUACAGGAUUCCCGAGCUCUCUGGUACAGGAUUCCCCAGCUCUCCCAGCUCUCUCCUGCGGGGCAGCCGAGGUUCAGGGGCUGGUGGACACUCGGUGGGACGGGCUGACCCCCGGGAGGGCCCUGGGAACGGAAUCGUGAAUCACAAAAUGUCCUGA
ensembl:lncRNA